CACUGUCAUGGGGCUGUCUCUUCGUUGUCCCUUGCCUAGUAAUUUGCUUUACUGGUGAUGUUUGCGAACGGUUGCCUGUAUAGUUCUACCCUUGCGGGUAGCGCGUGAUUGUCCCGUUCGUUUCUAUUUAGCUUGUUCUAUCAACGCCAGUUGACGGGACGGCCGAGAUGUUAGCGACUUCCAAGUGUUUCCAUGUGCGCUAUCUUGGUAAUGCGCUUGGAUGUUCGUUGGGUCUCAUGGAUGUAGUGCGUAUUGUGAGCUCUACGGGUUUCGUGCCUGCAGAACCUGUGAGGUUGCCCUUGCAUAGAACAUUGCUCUAUCGCUUCACUAACGUGUGGUGUUUUAAGCGCCAUGUUGUAGUGCUGCUAUUGGGGUGUUGUUGUUUGCGUGCGGCAUGCCUCUUAGACCAAAUGACUUGCGAUUGCUGGUUUGCGUUGUCACAAGA
rnacentral:misc_RNA from 1 species